rnacentral:rRNA from 1 species
GGCGUACUGCUCAGUAACACGUGGAUAAUCUGCCCUAAGGUCAGGCAUAACCCCGGGAAACUGGUGAUAAUACCUGAUAUACCAUAGAUACUGGAAUGUUCUGUGGUCAAAAGCUCCGGUGCCUUAGGAUGAAUCUGCGGCCUAUCAGGUUGUAGUGGGUGUAAUGUACCUACUAGCCGACGACGGGUACGGGUUGUGAGAGCAAGAGCCCGGAGAUGGAUUCUGAGACAUGAAUCCAGGCCCUACGGGGCGCAGCAGGCGCGAAAACUUUACAAUGCGGGAAACCGCGAUAAGGGAAUACUGAGUGCCAGCAUAUUAUGUUGGCUGUCCACCUGUGUAAAUAGCAGGUGUUAGCAAGGGCCGGGCAAGACCGGUGCCAGCCGCCGCGGUAACACCGGCGGCCCGAGUGGUGACCACUAUUAUUGGGUCUAAAGGGUCCGUAGCCGGUUCGAUCAGUCUUCCGGGAAAUCUGACAGCUCAACUGUUAGGCCUCCGGGGGAUACUGUCGGACUUGGGACCGGGAGAGGUAAGAGGUACUACAGGGGUAGGAGUGAAAUC